GCUGGUGGACUUGCAAAGGGUUGCGAUGCGGUGGCUGGUGGACUUGCAAAGGGUUGCGAUGCGGUGGCUGGUGGCUCGUGCAGAAUUGUGGUGGUUGGUUUGAAACGGUUUGACCUCAUCUCCUGCAGCGUCGUGCCGCCAUUAAUUUUCAAGACAAAUACCACAUCUGAUAAAUGAUCUUGAUGAUUGACUUACCGCCAUCGACUUAAAGGUAUAGAGCUACGCUAAACUACUCGACACUACACCUU
rnacentral:lncRNA from 1 species